UACGAAGGGGCUAGCGUUGCUCGGAAUUACUGGGCGUAAAGGGAGCGUAGGCGGACAUUUAAGUCAGGGUGAAAUCCCAGAGCUCAACUCUGGAACUGCCUUUGAUACUGGGUGUCUUGAGUGUGAGAGAGGUAUGUGGAACUCCGAGUGUAGAGGUGAAAUUCGUAGAUAAUUCGGAAGAACACCAGUGGCGAAGGCGACAUACUGGCUCAUUACUGACGCUGAGGCUCGAAAGCGUGGGGAGCAAACAGGAU
rnacentral:rRNA from 1 species